rnacentral:rRNA from 1 species
UAGGGAAUCUUCCGCAAUGGGCGAAAGCCUGACGGAGCAACGCCGCGUGAGUGAAGAAGGUCUUCGGAUCGUAAAACUCUGUUAUUAGGGAAGAACAAAUGUGUAAGUAACUAUGCACGUCUUGACGGUACCUAAUCAGAAAGCCACGGCUAACUACGUGCCAGCAGCCGCGGUAAUACGUAGGUGGCAAGCGUUAUCCGGAAUUAUUGGGCGUAAAGCGCGCGUAGGCGGUUUUUUAAAUCUGAUGUGAAAGCCCACGGCUCAACCGUGGAGGGUCAUUGGAAACUGGAAAACUUGAGUGCAGAAGAGGAAAGUGGAAUUCCAUGUGUAGCGGUGAAAUGCGCAGAGAUAUGGAGGAACACCAGUGGCGAAGGCGACUUUCUGGUCUGUAACUGACGCUGAUGUGCGAAAGCGUGGGGAUCAAACA